UACGGGGGGGCAAGCGUUGUUCGGAAUUACUGGGCGUAAAGGGCUCGUAGGCGGCCAACUAAGUCAGACGUGAAAUCCCUCGGCUUAACCGGGGAACUGCAUCUGAUACUGGAUGGCUUGAGUUCGGGAGAGGGAUGCGGAAUUCCAGGUGUAGCGGUGAAAUGCGUAGAUAUCUGGAGGAACACCGGUGGCGAAGGCGGCAUCCUGGACCGGCAUUGACGCUGAGGCGCGAAAGCUAGGGGAGCAAACGGG
rnacentral:rRNA from 1 species